rnacentral:rRNA from 1 species
CUACGGGCCGCUGCAGUGAGGAAUAUUGGACAAUGGAGGAAACUCUGAUCCAGCCAUGCCGCGUGAGUGAAGAAGGCCUUAGGGUUGUAAAGCUCUUUCAAUAGUGAAGAUAAUGACGGUAGCUAUAGAAGAGGCUCCGGCUAAAUUCGUGCCAGCAGCCGCGGUAAUACGAAUGGAGCAAGCGUUGUUCGGAAUCACUGGGCUUAAAGCGUGCGCAGGCGGACUUGAAAGUCAGAAGUGAAAUCCCAGAGCUCAACUCUGGAACUGCUUUUGAAACUUCAUGUCUAGAAUCCGAUAGAGGUAAGGGGAAUUCCUAGUGUAGAGGUGAAAUUCGCAGAUAUUAGGAGGAACACCAGUGGCGUAGGCGCCUUACUGGGUCGGUAUUGACGCUCAUGUACGAAAGCGUGGGGAGCAAACAGGAUUAGAUACCCCGGUAGUC